GACGAACGCUGGCGGCGUGCUUAACACAUGCAAGUCGAACGGAAAGGCCCUGCUUGCAGGGUGCUCGAGUGGCGAACGGGUGAGUAACACGUGGGUGAUCUGCCCCUUACUUUGGGAUAAGCCUGGGAAACUGGGUCUAAUACUGGAUAGGACCAUGCUGUAGGUGGUGUGGUGGAAAGAUUAGUUUCGGUAAGGGAUGAGCUCGCGGCCUAUCAGCUUGUUGGUGGGGUAAUGGCCUACCAAGGCGUCGACGGGUAGCCGGCCUGAGAGGGUGGACGGCCACAUUGGGACUGAGAUACGGCCCAGACUCCUACGGGAGGCAGCAGUGGGGAAUAGUGCACAAUGGGCGCAAGCCUGAUGCAGCGACGCCGCGUGGGGGAUGACGGCCUUCGAGUUGUAAACUCCUUUCAGCCAUGACGAAGCCCUUGUGGUGACGGUAGUGGUAGAAGGAGCACCGGCUAACUACGUG
rnacentral:rRNA from 1 species